rnacentral:rRNA from 1 species
GACGAACGCUGGCGGCGUGCUUAACACAUGCAAGUCGAGCGGAAAGGCCACUUCGGUGGUACUCGAGCGGCGAACGGGUGAGUAACACGUGAGUAAUCUGCCCUCUACUUGGGGAUAACCUCCGGAAACGGUGGCUAAUACCCGAUAUGACCGAUGACUGCAUGGUUGUUGGUGGAAAGUUUUUUCGGUAGGGGAUGUGCUCGCGGCCUAUCAGCUUGUUGGUGGGGUAAUGGCCUACCAAGGCUUCGACGGGUAGCCGGCCUGAGAGGGUGACCGGCCACACUGAGACUGAGACACGGCCCAGACUCCUACGGGAGGCAGCAGUGGGGAAUAUUGGACAAUGGGCGGAAGCCUGAUCCAGCAACGCCGCGUGAGGGAUGACGGCCUUCGGGUUGUAAACCUCUUUCACCUGUGACGAAGCGAAAGUGACGGUAGCAGGAGAAGAAGCACCGGCCAACUACGUGCCAGCAGCCGCAGUAAGAC